rnacentral:rRNA from 1 species
CCUACGGGGUGCUGCAGUGGGGAAUAUUGCACAAUGGGGGAAACCCUGAUGCAGCGACGCCGCGUGAGUGAAGAAGUACCUCGGUAUGUAAAGCCUCAUCAGCAGGGAAGAAGAAAGACGGUACCUGAUUAAGAAGCCCCGGCUAACUACGUGCCAGCAGCCGCGGGAAUACGUAGGGGGCAAGCGUUAUCCGGAUUUACUGGGUGUAAAGGGAGCGUAGACGGCAGUGCAAGGCUGAAGUGAAAGCCCAGGGCUCAACCCUGGGACUGCUUUGGAAACUGUGGAGCUAGAGUGCUGGAGAGGUAAGUGGAAUUCCUGGUGUAGCGGUGAAAUGCGUAGAUAUUAGGAGGAACACCAGUGGCGAAGGCGGCUUACUGGACAAUAACUGACGUUGAGGCUCGAAAGCGUGGGGAGCGAACAGGAUUAGAUACCCGUGUAGUC